CAAACCCUCCCGGCCAAGGCUAGCCACCAGCCGGAAACCAGCCUUGCGCGUCCUCGGGCAACCGAUGACGUGAAGCGUAGGCGGUGAGCGGGCAGGCCCUGUAUGGAGCCGCGAAAGGAGCGGAUUGCGGGAGCCGACGCUGUUCCAUUAGCGGAAGGCAAUACGGCUCGGCUGUACCGGCUUGGUCGAGUCACCCGCCGCGGUCUAAGACCA
rfam:Thiohalorhabdus denitrificans strain HL 19 contig_1, whole genome shotgun sequence.